rnacentral:lncRNA from 1 species
CUGCUGGGUGCCCAUCAAGCUGGUGGAGACAGAGGUUGUGUGAAGCUCCCGAAGCCAUGUGGAAAACAGAAUUUCUUCAGACCACCCCAUGAUUUCUCCAACAUGUCUCCAGCAUGAACGCUCUCAUCACAACUUUUUGUGGCAUCUACAAGAUUUGUGCCAGCGCUCACUGAGGAGCUUUUUUAUCUGGAUCAUAAGGAAAUGGAAGUGGAAGAUAAAACCAGAAGGAUGUUCCUGGGUAGUACCAGACUAA